GGGAGAGAGAGCGAGCCAAUCGGGCCGGGGAUUGCGUUGGAUGUUUUGAAUAACAUCGCCGUUCAGCCAUUAGUCUGAGACAUGCGACGGCGAAGGAAUGGAUGUUAAACAAUAUUUACCAUUUUGAAUUAAUCGAGUGGGCUGGCUGAUAGCAUAGCUGACUCCUGAGAGCAGAAGCAUCGAAAGCUGUCAGAGAGGAACCAUGGUAACCAUCUCUAAACUGGACCCUGGACUCUCUGAGAAACCUGAGGACACGUCUUUGGACCGGAGGGAGCGCAGGAAGACAAGAUUUGCUGGUAGAGCAAAGAAGAAGGCUAAGUUCAGAAGCCAUGGAAGCCGUCAGAGAGUAACCAUGGUCACCAUCUCUGAACCGGAACCUGGACCCUCUGAUGAACCUGAGGACACGUCUUUGGACCGGGAGGAGACCAGGGGAGGGAAGAUUUGGUAGGUGCCCCAUUUUAGAGAAUUCAAAAGAAAU
ensembl:lncRNA